rnacentral:rRNA from 1 species
GAAGACGGCCUAUUGAUUGUAAACUGCUUUUGUACGGGAAGAACAAGGGGCACCGUGUGCCCCUCUGACGGUACCCGUAAGAAUAAGGAUCGGCUAACUCCGUGCCAGCAGCCGCGGUAAUACGGAGGAUCCGAGCGUUAUCCGGAAUCAUUGGGUUUAAAGGGUCCCGUAGGCGGGCCAUUAAGUCAGGGGUGAAAGUCUGCGGCUCAACCGUAGAAUUGCCCUUGAUACUGGUGGCUUGAGUUAUGGUGAAGUAACUAGAAUAUGUAGUGUAGCGGUGAAAUGCAUAGAUAUUACAUAGAAUACCGGUUGCGAAGGCAGGUUACUAACCAUAUACUGACGCUGAUGGACCAAAGCGUGGGGAGCGAACAGGAUUAGAUACCCUUGGUAGUCCACGCCGUAAACGAUGGAUACUACUUGUCCGGAUGCAAAUCUGGGCGGCCAA